GUCAUUGCGAUAGUAAUCCUGCUCAGUACGAGAGAAACCGCAGGUUCGGACAUUUGGUUCACGCACUCGGUCGAGCGGCCGGUGGUGCGAAGCUACCAUCCGUGGGAUUAU
rnacentral:ncRNA from 1 species